rnacentral:rRNA from 1 species
GACGAACGCUGGCGGCGUGCUUAACACAUGCAAGUCGAGCGGAAAGGCCACUUCGGUGGUACUCGAGCGGCGAACGGGUGAGUAACACGUGAGUAAUCUGCCCUUGGCUUUGGGAUAGCCACCGGAAACGGUGACUAAUACCGGAUACGACCACUUCUCGCAUGGGAUGGUGGUGGAAAGUUUUUCGGCCAGGGAUGUGCUCGCGGCCUAUCAGCUUGAUGGUGAGGUAAUGGCUCACCAUGGCUUCGACGGGUAGCCGGCCUGAGAGGGUGACCGGUCAAACUGGGACUGAGACACGGCCCAGACUCGUACGGGAGGCAGCAGUGGGGAAUAUUGGACAAUGGGCGGAGGCCUGAUCCAGCAACGCCGCGUGAGGGAUGACGGCCUUCGGGUUGUAAACCUCUUUCGGUGGGGACGAAGCGCAAGUGACGGUACCCACUAAAGAAGCACCGGCCAACUACGUGCCAGCCGCCGCGGUAACAC